GAUGAACGCUGGCGGCGUGCCUAAUACAUGCAAGUCGAGCGAACAGACGCGGAGCUUGCUCCUCUGACGUUAGCGGCGGACGGGUGAGUAACACGUGGAUAACCUACCUAUAAGACUGGGAUAACUUCGGGAAACCGGAGCUAAUACCGGAUAAUAUCUUGAACCGCAUGGUUCAAUAGUGAAAGACGGUUUUGCUGUCACUUAUAGAUGGAUCCGCGCCGCAUUAGCUAGUUGGUAAGGUAACGGCUUACCAAGGCAACGAUGCGUAGCCGACCUGAGAGGGUGAUCGGCCACACUGGAACUGAGACACGGUCCAGACUCCUACGGGAGGCAGCAGUAGGGAAUCUUCCGCAAUGGGCGAAAGCCUGACGGAGCAACGCCGCGUGAGUGAUGAAGGUCUUCGGAUCGUAAAACUCUGUUAUUAGGGAAGAACAAAUGUGUAAGUAACUAUGCACGUCUUGACGGUACCUAAUCAGAAAGCCACGGCUAACUACGUG
rnacentral:rRNA from 1 species